rnacentral:sRNA from 1 species
GACACUUGAAUUUGAUGUUUUCUCGAGCAGUAAACAUGAUGAGCUGUAAUUACUUGCAAAAUCCAUGACAGCUGUGUU